rnacentral:rRNA from 1 species
AAACUCAAAUGAAUUGACGGGGACCCGCACAAGCGGUGGAGCAUGUGGUUUAAUUCGACGAUACACGAAGAACCUUACCUGGACUUGACAUAGUAAGAACUUUCUAGAGAUAGAUUGGUGUCUGCUUGCAGAAACUUAUAUACAGGUGCUGCACGGCUGUCGUCAGCUCGUGUCGUGAGAUGUUGGGUUAAGUCCCGCAACGAGCGCAACCCUCGUCAUUAGUUGCUAACAGUUCGGCUGAGAACUCUAAUGAGACUGCCUACGCAAGUAGGAGGAAGGUGAGGACGACGUCAAGUCAUCAUGGCCCUUACGUCCAGGGCUACACACGUGCUACAAUGGGGUAUACAAAGAGCAGCAAUACAGUGAUGUGGAGCAAAUCUCAAAAAUAUCUCCCAGUUCGGAUUGUAGUCUGCAACUCGACUACAUGAAGUUGGAAUCGCUAGUAAUCGUAGAUCAGCUAUGCUACGGUGAAUACGUUCCCGGGUCUUGUACUCACCGCCCGUCACACCAUGGGAGUUGAACUCAUUCGAAGCGGGGAUGCUAAAGUAGCUACCUUCCACAGUGGAUUCAGCGACUGGGGUGAAGUCGUAACAAGGUAACCGUAGGAGAACCUGCGGUUGGAUCACCUCCUUU